UACGAAGGGGGCUAGCGUUGCUCGGAAUCACUGGGCGUAAAGCGCACGUAGGCGGCUUCUUAAGUCAGGGGUGAAAUCCUGGAGCUCAACUCCAGAACUGCCUUUGAUACUGGAGAGCUCGAGUCCGGAAGAGGUGAGUGGAACUCCGAGUGUAGAGGUGAAAUUCGUAGAUAUUCGGAAGAACACCAGUGGCGAAGGCGGCUCACUGGUCCGGUACUGACGCUGAGGUGCGAAAGCUAGGGGAGCAAACGGG
rnacentral:rRNA from 1 species